rnacentral:rRNA from 1 species
CGGAUGGGGGACGGCUACCAUGCAGUCGAGCGGCAUGCACGAGAGCUUGGUCUCUGAUUGCACCGGCGGACGGGGGAGUAGUGUGUAGGAAUCUGUGUGGGGUAGGGGGAGACGUCCCGGGGGGACGCUCUACCGCGCACGUCCUACGGGAGAAAAAGGGGACCUUCGGGCCUUGCGCUAUCUCAUGAGCCUAGGUCGGAUUUUAUAGUUGGGGAGGUAAUGGGUCUCCCCGGCGACAAUCCGCAACUGUGCUGAGAGGAUGAUCUCUCACACUGUGACUGAGACACGCGCCCCACUCCCCUACGAGGCAGCACUGGGGAAUAUUGUACACUGUGCGAAAGCCUGAGCCCCCCCUGCGCCGCGUGUGAAAAAAGUCUUCUCAUUGUGUAGCACUUUUUAUUGUGAGAAAAAGCACUUACCUAAUACCUUGUUGUUUUUUGACUACCCACACAAUAUACACCGCCUAACUCUCUGCCACCAGCCCCGCUAAUACACAGAGUGCAAGCGUUAUUCUCAAUUACUGUGCGUAUAGCGCGCGCAUAUGGGUUGUGAUAAUGAAUGUGAAAUCCCCGCGCUCUCACUCUGAACUCUGUCUCCAACUGUGAAGCUAUAGAAUGGGAGAGGGGGGUGGUAAUAUCCUGUGUAGCGCGGAAAAGCGCAGUAGAUAUGAAGAGAACACCACUGGCGACAAGGGACACUCUCUGCUGCUUACUGCUCACUGAUAUGCGCACACGCUGGGCAGAACAAAGCAAUAUAGACACUCUUCGUCCCCGCCGCUACAUACUGAUCAUCUACUACACUGUAAGGCUUCUUGCGGUUAUUACUGCAGCUAUAACAUUAUUAUGUCUGGCCCGUGUAGGAAUAGCCGCUCGAUGAUAGAUCCUCAGGAUAUGUCGACUGCCCUCACAAAAAGCGCUGAAUCUGCUUUUAUACUAAGAAACACGCUAAAACGUAUCACCCCUCGUGUAACACUGAGAUUGCUUGCAAAAAGAUGGGGCGGGUCUUUAUCAAGUAAUACAAGCCCAGACUCAUGAUUUCAAUAUCGCGCCUGUCAGAAAAUAAAGUUUAACGAAAGCCUUCUUCUACUAGCAGUUGAAUGU